rnacentral:misc_RNA from 1 species
AUAUAUCAACCUCUUCAGCUUUUUGCAUGUUGAGUGUUGGAUAUGGGGGUAUUUUUUGCUGGACUCUAUCUGAGGUCAGCUCCCCUAAAAUGCAUCAGCGAAACAAUUUGUUUACCGCUCAUUGGUGUGAUAACUAUCUACGCUGUUGACGGUGACGCAUGUUUAGCUUCUAACAGUCCAUUAACUUGGACAACUUUUUAUUAAU